UGACACCGUGUGCACCGCGGGAGGGAGGAAGGGAGGGAUGUUAUGCAGGUUCCCAGGAUGACACACCGCAAGGUUUCAGGGCGCGACCAGCUCGCUGCGGGGCCCACGGGGUUGUGUUUGUUUACCCCGCGCCGCCUGGAAGGAGGCCGGGCAGCUACAAUGGACACCAAACGAAUAGCAGAGAGGAGAACAGGGGGUAGACGCCACCGAACAGAUGGAUGGGAAGACCGAGGUCGAGGGCCGGCGACCUGAGCGGAGCUCCCUGAUGCUCCGCGGAGACCCAAGCCAGUGCUUUUCCAUACAGUAGACGGGGGCGUGGGCUCAUCUGGAACCAACCUCGGAUUCCCCACUCCGUUUCCCGUGUUGCUUCUGGAAACCCACCUGUAGAAUGCAAGUCAGGGAGCACCCAGAGCGGACAAACAGCCAGUGAGAGGAAUGGGAAAAGUGGCGAGGGAAGACCGAGGGUUCUUCACGUCUGGUGAAUUACUAUUGUGAAUAGGUUUUUUUUGUUUGUUUUGUUUUUUUUAAGACACCCACACCAAGGAGAAUGGGUUUAGAGUGCUAGUGUUUAGAAACUCCCAUGACUUCGUGGAGAUUUUAAGGCAUUUUUCAUUAUAGAAAAUUGAGAAAAUGCCGAAAAGUAAGACGAGGAAAACAAAAAUCCCAAAUUCUGCCGCUCAAAGAGAUGAUCAUUUUAGUUUCCUUUCAGUCUUUAUUCCUACUUUGUGUAUUUGUUUUUAUAUUUAUACUUUUUCCUCUUUCCCCUGUAUAUGUAAUAUGGUAGCCUUUUUUUUUUCACUUUAUGUUCUGUUGCAAGCACUUAUGUCAUUACAAAAUCCUUCACGUUUCCCACAUUAAAUAUGUAACCUAAUAAAAAUUAACUGUCUAACUA